rnacentral:rRNA from 1 species
AUACGUAGGGGGCAAGCGUUGUCCGGAAUCAUUGGGCGUAAAGCGCGCGCAGGCGGUCCUUUAAGUCUGAUGUGAAAUCUUGCGGCUUAACCGCAAGCGGUCAUUGGAAACUGGAGGACUUGAGUGCAGGAGAGGGAAGCGGAAUUCCAUGUGUAGCGGUGAAAUGCGUAGAGAUAUGGAGGAACACCAGUGGCGAAGGCGGCUUCCUGGCCUGUAACUGACGCUGAGGCGCGAAAGCGUGGGGAGCAAACAGGAUUAGAUACCCUGGUAGUCCACGCCGUAAACGAUGAGUGCUAGGUGUUGGAGGGUUUCCACCCUUCAGUGCUGCAGCUAACGCAUUAAGCACUCCGCCUGGGGAGUACGGCCGCAAGGCUGAA